GGGGACGUAGCUCAUAUGGUAGAGUGCUCACUUCGCAUGUGAGAGGCACGGGGUUCAAUUCCCCGUGUCUCCA